rnacentral:lncRNA from 1 species
CACCAUUGGUAAGUUGUUUUCGUUUGUUUUGUUAUUUUUCUCAAAAUUGGGGUUUGUAAUUAAGGUUUAAAAUGUUAUUUUUGUAGUUUUUUAUGUCUGCGUGCUUUUAUUUUUCAUGCAUAUUGUGACUUUUUUGCUUGUCUUUAAAUGAGAUUUAACCUAGUUUUUUAACAUGAAUAUUGUACAUGUCCAUGUUAGUGGAGGAUAUAUUCACUAUGGAGUCAAAGAAUCUUCGUUCACUCCAAGAAGCACUAAAGAAUUAGUGCAUUGCUUAUUGUUUAUCCUAUUCUUUAUUGCUGUGGUUAGGCGUGAUUGCAAUCAGUCCACGGUGAUUCUAAGAAUAUUCCUUCACCCC